GUGGGUGCUAGAAAUCAAGCCUGGGUCCUCUGGAAGAGCAGUUGGUGCUCUUAACCACUGAGCCAUCUCUCCCACACUGAGGAUUUUUCAAAUCGUAAGAUCCAGGUUACUUUAUGUAAUAUAUAGAAGAAAGGAUUAUGGAUUUUGUUUUUGUUCCAGUCUCUUUGGACACGGGAGUGGGGUGGGGGUGGGGAACCAAAUGGUGAGAGAAGAUGAGUGAAAAUAUCCCCCCCCCCCCCCGGCAGCAUCAAUGGGUGGCCCAAGUCUCAGCCAAAGAACCUGCAGGCCAGAUUUGCAUGUCACAGCAAGACUGAACAGGAAGUGGAAAAACAUCAGGGAGAGAUGGCAGCCUGCAGUGUAGACCACACUCGAAGCUGGGUGACCCCUGUGAAAGGGUCGUUCAGUGCCCAAAGAGGUCUGGAUCCACAGGUGGAGAACCGCUGCCGUACGCCAUCAUCUGUUGAGAAUAUUUCAGAUGAGGGAAUUCAUGGGACUAAGCCCAGGAAGAAUGCUUGACUGUGAACUGUAAAACUGAACGUGUGCUGCCUCUGAGCUCCGGCCUCAGUCCUGUCCUGCUCACCCAGCCCUUCUUCCUUGUCCUCUGGCUGUGCAAAGCUGCCUUGUGCUGUUAGGAUGGUGUAUUCAUUGUUUUUUGAAGGAAACAGAAGGUCCCGCGUGGUCUUAUUAAAAUUAUUUUAUUGA